GGACUGAGGUCGUCUGGCUUCGGCAUCUGUCACUCCUCUGUCUGCAGAGCUGACUUUAUCUAAUUAGUCAGAAAGGUGGCACGCUCCUCCCUCACUGGUCCAUGUGUGGCCUGCCUCACAUUGCAUCCCAAGGCAAAAGAGUGGAUCUUUUAAGCUCUACCUGGACUUCUCUUUGGUCAAAGGUAUCUGAAUAGCUGAGUUAUUUUAGUGGAAACUCUGAACAUGGAAUUGCAGUUUGAAGCAGCCCAAAUAUCUAUUUUUAUAGCUGAGAAGAGACUC
rnacentral:sRNA from 1 species